AGGACGAACGCUGGCGGCGUGCUUAACACAUGCAAGUCGGGCGGUAAGGCCCUUUCGGGGGUACACGAGCGGCGAACGGGUGAGUAACACGUGGGCGACCUGCCCUCAGCUCUGGGAUAAGCCUGGGAAACUGGGUCUAAUACCGGAUAUGACUUCACAUCGCAUGGUGUGUUGUGGAAAGUUUUUUCGGCUGGGGAUGGGCCCGCGGCCUAUCAGCUUGUUGGUGGGGUGAUGGCCUACCAAGGCGACGACGGGUA
rnacentral:rRNA from 1 species